rnacentral:rRNA from 1 species
UGUCCUGCGGCGAAGAUGUAACGGGGCUCAAGCCAUGAGCCGAAGCUUAGGAUGUGCAGCAAUGCACGUGGUAGCGGAGCGUAGUGUGACAUAGCUCCAUGCCUCUUCUGCACCUCUCGAGGUGCACUGGAGGCGUUGGAGCUUUCUGUGAAGCCGGGGCGUGAGCCAUCCGGUGGAGAGAUCACUAGUGAGAAUGAUGACAUGAGUAGCGACAAACAGGGUGAGAGACCCUGUCGCCGAAAGUCCAAGGGUUCCUGCUUAAAGCUAAUCUGAGCAGGGUAAGCCGACCCCUAAGGCGAGGCCGAAAGGCGUAGUCGAUGGGAACCAGGUUAAUAUUCCUGGGCCAUGUGGUGGUGACGGAUCUCGAGGGUAGUUCGUUCUUAUCGGAUUGAACGGGCUGCUUAGAGGUUCCUGGAAAUAGCCCCACUGUAAGAUCGUACCCUAAACCGACACAGGUGGACUGGUAGAGAAUACCAAGGCGCUUGAGAGAACCACAUUUAAGGAACUCGGCAAAAUACCUCCGUAAGUUCGCGAGAAGGAGGCCCGUUCUGUAGGCAACUAUGGGGCGGGGGCACAAACCAGGGGGUGGCGACUGUUUACUUAAAACACAGGGCUCUGCGAAGUCGUAAGACGACGUAUAGGGUCUGACGCCUGCCCGGUGCUGGAAGGUUAAAAGGAGGGGUGCAAGCUCCGAAUUGAAGCCCCAGUAAACGGCGGCCGUAACUAUAACGGUCCUAAGGUAGCGAAAUUCCUUGUCGGGUAAGUUCCGACCUGCACGAAUGGCGUAACGACCUCCCCGCUGUCUCAAAUGUGGACUCAGCGAAAUUGAAUUGCCCGUGAAGAUGCGGGCUACCCGCGGUUAGACGGAAAGACCCCAUGCACCUUUACUAUAGCUUCGCACUGGCAACAGGCACGGCAUGCGCAGGAUAGGUGGUAGGCUUUGAAGCCGGGACUCUGGUCUCGGUGGAGCCUCCCUUGAGAUACCACCCUUGCUUUGCUUGUUGUCUAACCGCGGCCCGUUAUCCGGGUCCGGGACCCUGCGUGGUGGGUAGUUUGACUGGGGCGGUCGCCUCCUAAACAGUAACGGAGGCGCGCGAAGGUUGGCUCAGAGCGGUCGGAAAUCGCUCGUUGAGUG